GCCGUCGAACUGCAUGCUUACAUGUGUGUACGGGAGGUUGACUGUAUGUACGCUAUACCUUAAUAAACCGGACUGGAGAAAAAGUCCAAGGUCCCAGUGUCUCUUGGGGAACAAAAAUGUGAAGACCUGACCCCUCCAGGCCCCGUGGCACAAAGCAGCAGGCGCGGGCCCCCCCCCAACAGGGGGCUCUAGACCGUCAGCCAUCCACACGGCCCCCUGGCACAGAAAUGGGACUGGUCCCACUGCUGUGCCUGCACUGCACGCACAAUUCUGUCACCCGCUCAUGUCUCUGAAACCCCCGGACACCAAGCUUUGCCUUCUUAACGGUAACGACACAGCAUGUGGGGACGCAGCGCCCAGUGCCUGGGGGUGUGGGGCUGGCACUCAGUGGACAGAUGCUGUCAGCUGCCAUCGGGGUGACCACCGUCAUUGCCAAGUGCCCUGAGCCCUGCUCAGCAGAGACCCGUCCCUGAGCCUCGCUCUCUCUGCACACUCGGCCCUGCCACCCCCGUCGCUGGGGGGCUGGCGGCUCUGUCUCGGGCUGCCAGCUGUGUCACCCUGCCGGUAGAGAGGGACUCGAACAGGCUGUCCUCUGGCAGCCCUUGUGGGGCCCAGGCUGCCCUUUCCCUGUCUGUCUUUGGUGCAGGCAGGCACGCACGCAAGCACGCACAUGGGUUUUGUCUUCAGGGCUCAGCUUUCCGGUCCCCGCCUUGCCCGGUGCAUCCAAGACCAGGAGAAGAGGCCCCGAACCCCACUCCAGAGGACCGGCGUCUCUGAGCAGCUGGGCCAUGGGCCGGGCCCACCCCUGGCUGGGCCUGACCCCGUCCUUCCCGAAGACCACCUGGCCCUGGUGAUAAUCGACUUCAUUUCGCAACCGCGAGGAGUGCCACUGGGCCUUCCAGGGGACUGGCGGAGCACUCGGGCAGAGUCCUGGCACGACUGUGCGAUCUAACGGCUAGUGCCAGGGUCAAAUUCAAGUCCACAAAUAAACACUACGCCUCCGCCCCCUUCGGAAGCACAAAGCGGUCUGUCUCUAGAAGGUCUCCGUACUGCACGGUUUUCCAUGCAAAAUGUUCACCAGCUGGGGCUGUGCAUCAGCUCACUGCCCAUCCUCCGGCACCUCCUGCGUGACUGGCCCUGGCUGCAGGGCGCAGAGGGGUGAGGAGGCCUCCCAGCUGGGCCAGUGGGGGGCUGGCCGCCCGAGUGGGGGAGCAGGCCCAAACCCGCGGUAGUCACAGGUCAGCGUG